UACGAAGGGGGCUAGCGUUGCUCGGAAUCACUGGGCGUAAAGGGCUCGUAGGCGGCCAACUAAGUCGGACGUGAAAUCCCCAGGCUUAACUUGGGAACUGCGUCCGAUACUGGAUGGCUUGAAUCCGGGAGAGGGAUGCGGAAUUCCAGGUGUAGCGGUGAAAUGGCGUAGAUAUCUGGAGGAACACCGGUGGCGAAGGCGGCAUCCUGGACCGGUAUUGACGCUGAGUGAGCGAAAGCCAGGGGAGCAAACGGG
rnacentral:rRNA from 1 species